rnacentral:rRNA from 1 species
CAUUGGGGCAGCUACACAUGCAAGUCGAGCGGUAGCACAGAGAGCUUGCUCUCGGGUGACGAGCGGCGGACGGGUGAGUAAUGUCUGGGAAACUGCCUGAUGGAGGGGGAUAACUACUGGAAACGGUAGCUAAUACCGCAUAAUGUCGCAAGACCAAAGUGGGGGACCUUCGGGCCUCAUGCCAUCAGAUGUGCCCAGAUGGGAUUAGCUAGUAGGUGGGGUAACGGCUCACCUAGGCGACGAUCCCUAGCUGGUCUGAGAGGAUGACCAGCCACACUGGAACUGAGACACGGUCCAGACUCCUACGGGAGGCAGCAGUGGGGAAUAUUGCACAAUGGGCGCAAGCCUGAUGCAGCCAUGCCGCGUGUGUGAAGAAGGCCUUCGGGUUGUAAAGCACUUUCAGCGGGGAGGAAGGCGUUAAGGUUAAUAACCUUGGCGAUUGACGUUACCCGCAGAAGAAGCACCGGCUAACUCCGUGCCAGCAGCCGCGGUAAUACGGAGGGUGCAAGCGUUAAUCGGAAUUACUGGGCGUAAAGCGCACGCAGGCGGUCUGUCAAGUCGGAUGUGAAAUCCCCGGGCUCAACCUGGGAACUGCAUUCGAAACUGGCAGGCUAGAGUCUUGUAGAGGGGGGUAGAAUUCCAGGUGUAGCGGUGAAAUGCGUAGAGAUCUGGAGGAAUACCGGUGGCGAAGGCGGCCCCCUGGACAAAGACUGACGCUCAGGUGCGAAAGCGUGGGGAGCAAACAGGAUUAGAUACCCUGGUAGUCCACGCCGUAAACGAUGUCGAUUUGGAGGUUGUGCCCUUGAGGCGUGGCUUCCGGAGCUAACGCGUUAAAUCGACCGCCUGGGGAGUACGGCCGCAAGGUUAAAACUCAAAUGAAUUGACGGGGGCCCGCACAAGCGGUGGAGCAUGUGGUUUAAUUCGAUGCAACGCGAAGAACCUUACCUGGUCUUGACAUCCACAGAACUUUCCAGAGAUGGAUUGGUGCCUUCGGGAACUGUGAGACAGGUGCUGCAUGGCUGUCGUCAGCUCGUGUUGUGAAAUGUUGGGUUAAGUCCCGCAACGAGCGCAACCCUUAUCCUUUGUUGCCAGCGGUUAGGCCGGGAACUCAAAGGAGACUGCCAGUGAUAAACUGGAGGAAGGUGGGGAUGACGUCAAGUCAUCAUGGCCCUUACGACCAGGGCUACACACGUGCUACAAUGGCAUAUACAAAGAGAAGCGACCUCGCGAGAGCAAGCGGACCUCAUAAAGUAUGUCGUAGUCCGGAUUGGAGUCUGCAACUCGACUCCAUGAAGUCGGAAUCGCUAGUAAUCGUAGAUCAGAAUGCUACGGUGAAUACGUUCCCGGGCCUUGUACACACCGCCCGUCACACCAUGGGAGUGGGUUGCAAAAGAAGUAGGUAGCUUAACCUUCGGGAGGGCGCUACCACUUGGAUCCGG